rnacentral:rRNA from 1 species
UACGAAGGGUGCUAGCGUUAAUCGGAAUAACUGGGCGUAAAGCGCGCGUAGGUGGUUAAGCAAGUUGGAUGUGAAAUCCCUGGGCUCAACCUAGGAACUGCAUCCAAUACGGAAUGACUAGAGUACGGUAGAGGUUAGUGGAAUUUCCUGUGUAGCGGUGAAAUUCGUAGAUAUAGGAAGGAACACCAGUGGCGAAGGCGACUAACUGGACUGAUACUGACACUGAGGUGCGAAAGCGUGGGGAGCAAACAGG